rnacentral:rRNA from 1 species
UACGGAGGGUGCAAGCGUUAAUCGGAAUUACUGGGCGUAAAGCGCGCGUAGGUGGCUGUUCAAGCCAGAUGUGAAAUCCCCGGGCUUAACCUGGGAACUGCAUUUGGAACUGGGCAGCUAGAGUACAGCAGAGGAGUGUGGAAUUUCAGGUGUAGCGGUGAAAUGCGUAGAGAUCUGAAGGAACAUCAGUGGCGAAGGCGACACUCUGGGCUGAUACUGACACUGAGGUGCGAAAGCGUGGGUAGCAAAC